rnacentral:lncRNA from 1 species
GCAGGCCCCCGCUAUGGGCCAGGCCCCCUCUAUGGGGCAGGUCCUCUCUAUGGGGCACGCUAUGGGGCAGGCCCCCACUAUGGGGUGCUAUGGGGCAGGCCCCCUCUAUGGGGCAUGCUAUGGGGCAGGCCCCCUCUAUGGGGCACACUAUGGGGCAGGCCCCCUCUAUGGGGCAGGCCCCCUCUAUGGGGCACCCUAUGGGGCAGGCCCCCUCUAUGGGGCUGAGCCCCCUCUAUGGGGCGCUAUGGGGCCGAGCCCCCUAACCACCCCGUCCUCUCUUUCCAGCUCCACUCCGAAGCCCCGCCCACUCCGAGAAGACCACGCCCACAAACAUUCAGACCACGCCCCCUUUGGCUAAGCCCCGCCCAUUCCCCCUUGAAGCCCCGCCCACGGGCCGCCAUGGCCCCGCCCCUUUUGUGGGCGUGGCCGCUGCUGGCCCUGGCGGUGGGCGGGGCGGUGGGCGGGGCUUGCACCGGAAAGAGGUGGAGCCUAACAGGAAGCGGAGCUUUGAGUGAUGGCGCCGGGAACUACUCGGUGAUGGGGGACUGCAUCUGGGUGCUGCACGCCCCCCCCCGGGCAGCGCGUGCUGCUGACGCUGAUGGAAGUGGAGACGGAGUGCGGCUUCGACUUCCUGUUCGUCUUCGAUGGCCCCGCCUCCCGCGGGCGCCUAUUGGCUGCGCUCAGCGGGAACGCCCCGCCCCCACCGCUGCUGGAGGCC